GAUGAACGCUGGCGGCGUGCCUAAUACAUGCAAGUCGAGCGAACAGACGAGGAGCUUGCUCCUCUGACGUUAGCGGCGGACGGGUGAGUAACACGUGGAUAACCUACCUAUAAGACUGGGAUAACUUCGGGAAACCGGAGCUAAUACCGGAUAAUAUAUUGAACCGCAUGGUUCAAUAGUGAAAGACGGUUUUGCUGUCACUUAUAGAUGGAUCCGCGCCGCAUUAGCUAGUUGGUAAGGUAACGGCUUACCAAGGCAACGAUGCGUAGCCGACCUGAGAGGGUGACCGGCCACACUGGAACUGGGAAACGGUCCAGACUCCUAAGGGAGGCAGCAGUAGGGAAUAUUCCGCAAGGGGCGAAAGCUUGACGGAGCAACGUCGCGUGAGUGAUGAAGGUCUUGGGAUCGGAAAACUCUGUUAUUAGGGAAGAAAAAAUGUGGAAGUAACUAUGCACGUCUUGAAGGUACCUAAUCAGAAAGACACGGCUAACUACGUG
rnacentral:rRNA from 1 species